GUCAAAUCCACACACAUUCAAUUAAUUAUCAGCCAUACAUCUAUAUAAUUAAAGCGAGAUAUAAUGACACGCUUUCAUCAAAACAAAUCAAACUAAAAAUGGAUUCGCGUGCCGACGCAGAGACCGAAAUAACAACAGACCUUCCGCCAAACCAGAUCAAUGCUCAUGAAGAUCUUGAUAUCAGGAUAUGUGAGAGACAGCAGCAGAUUGAUCUCUGUAGCGUCAUCAUCAACGAUCUAUUCUACAUUCACACAAUACUGCAGGAAAGAGGACUUGAUCAUGUGUCUGUUCAAGAACUGGAUAACUGAUAAUCCUUUGAAUGUUAUAUAUUAAGUGUAUGUUAAAGUCUUCUCAUGAAAGAGAUUUUAAACUGAAAUAAUCCAAUAAACCAGACAAGAUUUUACUGUUA